AGCGAACGCUGACGGCAGGCCUAACACAUGCAAGUCGAACGAAGCCUUCGGGCUUAGUGGCGGACGGGUGAGUAACACGUGGGAACGUACCUUUUGGUUCGGAACAACUCAGGGAAACUUGAGCUAAUACCGGAUGAGCCCUUAGGGGGAAAGAUUUAUCGCCGAGAGAGCGGCCCGCGUUAGAUUAGCUAGUUGGUGGGGUAAAGGCUCACCAAGGCAACGAUCUAUAGCUGGUCUGAGAGGAUGAUCAGCCACACUGGGACUGAGACACGGCCCAGACUCCUACGGGAGGCAGCAGUGGGGAAUCUUGCGCAAUGGGCGAAAGCCUGACGCAGCCAUGCCGCGUGAAUGAUGAAGGUCUUAGGAUUGUAAAAUUCUUUUACCAGGGACGAUAAUGACGGUACCUGGAGAAAAAGCCCCGGCUAACUUCGUGCCAGCAGCCGCCGUAA
rnacentral:rRNA from 1 species